rnacentral:rRNA from 1 species
GACGAACGCUGGCGGCGUGCUUAACACAUGCAAGUCACGGGGGUCUCGGGGCAACUCGGGAUAACCGGCGAACGGGUGCGUAACACGUAAGCGACCUGCCGAUUCGCGGGGGGAUAGCCGGCCCAACGGCCGGGUAAUACCGCAUACGCUUGCUGGGUUUCAUGGCCGGGCAAGGAAACCUCCGGGGAACCGGGAGGGGCGGAUCGAGGGGGCUUGCGGCCUAUCAGCUAGUUGGUGAGGUAACGGCUCACCAAGGCGGUGACGGGUAGCUGGUCUGAGAGGAUGGCCAGCCACAUUGGGACUGAGAGACGGCCCAGACUCCUACGGGAGGCAGCAGUGGGGAAUCUUGCGCAAUGGGCGAAAGCCUGACGCAGCGACGCCGCGUGGGGA